CGUAGGUGGUUCUGUAUGUCUAUCGUGAAAGCGUACGGCUCAACCGUAUUUUGUCGGUAGAAACUGCAGGACUUGAGGCUGGGAGGGGCUGGUGGAAUUCCCUGUGUAGCGGUGAAAUGCGUAGAGAUGGGGGAGAACACUCGUGGCGAAGGCGGCCAGCUAGACCAGUUCUGACACUGAGGCGCGACAGCGUGGGGAGCAAACA
rnacentral:rRNA from 1 species